UGGAAAAUCAGGAGUUGCUCCCUCUAGCUCCGUACUCCAUGGGGCAGGGAUAUCCUACACAGCAGUUUUAGUAUCAGACCUGUUCCAAGAUGUUUAUACCAAUUCUGAGCUAUGCUUGAGUCACAGAGACGAUCUGGGAAAUGAAGGAAGGGAGAGACCAGGGCAGGAGAGACCAGGGUCAGGAAAACCAGUGCCAGGAGGGUCCGGGACCAGGGACGUCCAGGGUCAGGAAUGCAGCACUGGGCGCAUAGCCUAAACUUGCCAGCUUGGAGUUGAAAGGAAGCUGAAAGCAGGAUAUCCCGACUGAAGUGCAAUCCUACGUAGUCAAAGAUCCAGGCAGGAUUAGGCUAGUCUAUAUAUGUGGUAUAGAGAUGCCAUUCAUGUGUACGUAUGUAUGUGUAUUUUUCAAAUAUAUUCAGUAAAUACUGACUGCUGUUUGUUAAAGAAAAGGUUUCAUACAUACAUGGUUCUGAGCUCCUGUUGUUUUGAGAUGUCUGGGUGAACCACUGCUCCACCAUAACCACUAAAUAUUAAUAUACUACUCCUCAUCAUCAGAUAUUCCUUUGCUUCAGCUACCUUGGCCUUGAGGACAAUAGCUGACAUUUACCUCGUGCCUUAAACGUAGAAAGAACUUCUCUUCAUGAAGAUGCUUUUGCAUUCUUCUUCUGAUUAUGUUCAAAUAUUGUGUCCCUAAACAUUACUACUGCCUGUGAUGUUGGAGAAUGCUCCUUAAACAAGUUCUGUAGAAUCACACUAAUAUACAGCACAAUAAAGAAAACCACUGUAAACACA